GCUAAUCCUACUAAAGAGUCCCUAUCAAUAGUGGGGGUUGGCACCUCGAUGUUGGCUUAGGGUAUCUUUACGGCGCAAAAGUCGUACACAGACGGUUUGUUCAACCAAUAAAACCCUACAUGAGCUGAGUUCAGACCGGCGUAAGCCAGGUUAGCUUCUAUCCUCGAUAAUUAACUCUGUUUGUAGUACGAAAGGACCUAAACAAGAAUAAUAAUUAUAGAUAAAGAAUUAAUAUAACUUUAAAUUAACCAAAACUAAAAAACACUAUA
rnacentral:rRNA from 1 species